rnacentral:rRNA from 1 species
GAUGAACGCUGGCGGCGUGCCUAAUACAUGCAAGUCGAGCGAACAGAUGAGGAGCUUGCUCCUCUGACGUUAGCGGCGGACGGGUGAGUAACACGUGGAUAACCUACCUAUAAGACUGGGAUAACUUCGGGAAACCGGAGCUAAUACGGGAUAAUAUAUUGAACCGCAUGGUUCAAUAGUGAAAGACGGUUUUGCUGUCACUUAUAGAUGGAUCCGCGCCGCAUUAGCUAGUUGGUAAGGUAACGGCUUACCAAGGCAACGAUGCGUAGCCGACCUGAGAGGGUGAUCGGCCACACUGGAACUGAGACACGGUCCAGACUCCUACGGGAGGCAGCAGUAGGGAAUCUUCCGCAAUGGGCGAAAGCCUGACGGAGCAACGCCGCGUGAGUGAUGAAGGUCUUCGGAUCGUAAAACUCUGUUAUUAGGGAAGAACAAAUGUGUAAGUAACUAUGCACGUCUUGACGGUACCUAAUCAGAAAGCCACGGCUAACUACGUG